CUGAGAGGAUGACCAGCCACACUGGAACUGAGACACGGUCCAGACUCCUACGGGAGGCAGCAGUGGGGAAUAUUGCACAAUGGGCGCAAGCCUGAUGCAGCCAUGCCGCGUGUAUGAAGAAGGCCUUCGGGUUGUAAAGUACUUUCAGCGGGGAGGAAGGGAGUAAAGUUAAUACCUUUGCUCAUUGACGUUACCCGCAGAAGAAGCACCGGCUAACUCCGUGCCAGCAGCCGCGGUAAUACGGAGGGUGCAAGCGUUAAUCGGAAUUACUGGGCGUAAAGCGCACGCAGGCGGUUUGUUAAGUCAGAUGUGAAAUCCCCGGGCUCAACCUGGGAACUGCAUCUGAUACUGGCAAGCUUGAGUCUCGUAGAGGGGGGUAGAAUUCCAGGUGUAGCGGUGAAAUGCGUAGAGAUCUGGAGGAA
rnacentral:rRNA from 1 species